rnacentral:rRNA from 1 species
CGAUGCAACGCGAAGAACCUUACCUACUCUUGACAUCCAGAGAACUUAGCAGAGAUGCUUUGGUGCCUUCGGGAACUCUGAGACAGGUGCUGCAUGGCUGUCGUCAGCUCGUGUUGUGAAAUGUUGGGUUAAGUCCCGCAGCGAGCGCAACCCUUAUCCUUUGUUGCCAGCGGUUAGGCCGGGAACUCAAAGGAGACUGCCAGUGAUAAACUGGAGGAAGGUGGGGAUGGCGUCAAGUCAUCAUGGCCCUUACGAGUAGGGCUACACACGUGCUACAAUGGCGCAUACAAAGAGAAGCGACCUCGCGAGAGCAAGCGGACCUCAUAAAGUGCGUCGUAGUCCGGAUUGGAGUCUGCAACUCGACUCCAUGAAGUCGGAAUCGCUAGUAAUCGUGGAUCAGAAUGCCACGGUGAAUACGUUCCCGGGCCUUGUACACACCGCCCGUCACACCAUGGGAGUGGGUUGCAAAAGAAGUAGGUAGCUUA